GAUGAACGCUGGCGGUAUGCCUUAUACAUGCAAGUCGUACGAAAGUUUUUAACUUAAGUGGCGGACGGGUGAGUAACACGUGAGAAUUUGCCUUUAGGAGGGGGAUAACAACUGGAAACGGUUGCUAAAACCCCAUAUGCUUAAGAGUGAAAUAGAUUUAUCUGCCUAGAGAGAAGCUCGCGGCUGAUUAGCUUGUUGGUGAGGUAAUGGCUUACCAAGGCGACGAUCAGUAUCUGGUUUGAGAGGAUGAUCAGACACACUGGAACUGAGACACGGUCCAGACUCCUACGGGAGGCAGCAGUAGGGAAUUUUCCGCAAUGGGCGAAAGCCUGACGGAGCAAUACCGCGUGAGGGAAGACGGCCUAUGGGUUGUAAAACCUCUUUUUCAGGGAGGGAAUAAAUGACGUGUACCUGAAGAAUAAGCAUCGGCUAACU
rnacentral:rRNA from 1 species